UACGUAGGGACCAAGCGUUGUUCGGAUUUACUGGGCGUAAAGGGCGCGUAGGCGGCGCGGUAAGUCACUUGUGAAAUCUCUGAGCUUAACUCAGAACGGCCAAGUGAUACUGCAGUGCUAGAGUGUGGAAGGGGCAAUCGGAAUUCUUGGUGUAGCGGUGAAAUGCGUAGAUAUCAAGAGGAACACCUGAGGUGAAGACGGGUUGCUGGGCCAACACUGACGCCGAGGCGCGAAAGCCAGGGGAGCAAACGGG
rnacentral:rRNA from 1 species